CCUACGGGAGGCAGCAGUGGGGAAUAUUGCACAAUGGGGGAAACCCUGAUGCAGCAACGCCGCGUGAGUGAAGAAGUAUUUCGGUAUGUAAAGCUCUAUCAGCAGGGAAGAAGAUGACGGUACCUGAGUAAGAAGCCCCGGCUAACUACGUGCCAGCAGCCGCGGUAAUACGUAUGGGGCAAGCGUUAUCCGGAUUUACUGGGUGUAUAGGGAGCGUAGGCGGCAGGGCAAGCCUGAUGUGAAAGCCCGGGGCUCAACCCCGGGACUGCAUUGGGAACUGCCCCGCUCGAGUGCCGGAGGGGCAG
rnacentral:rRNA from 1 species